UACAGAGGGGGCAAGCGUUGUUCGGAAUUACUGGGCGUAAAGGGCGCGUAGGCGGCCUUCUAAGUCGAACGUGAAAUCCCCGGGCUCAACCCGGGAACUGCGUCCGAUACUGGGAGGCUUGAAUCCGGGAGAGGGAUGUGGAAUUCCAGGUGUAGCGGUGAAAUGCGUAGAUAUCUGGAGGAACACCGGUGGCGAAGGCGGCAUCCUGGACCGGUAUUGACGCUGAGGCGCGAAAGCUAGGGGAGCAAAC
rnacentral:rRNA from 1 species